CCACGUAACGCACGUACCACCUACGCCGCCUGUAUUCACAAUUGGACGACGUCAUCUCACCUACACAUCAAGUGCCCGUAAAUUAAUACAUAAAUAAACUUUAAACAUGUAAUCCAUCUACUUUACCACAUGAAUUAUAUACAUCAAUUCGACAAAAUACAAAUAAUCCAUCUACAAAAUACAAACACUUAACCAUAUAAACUAUAGCAACUAUAUUAAGAAAUAAAAAUAUUGGACAAAUUAAUUGGACAUAUUGCAAAAAAAAGUACCGACGUCAUGUACACUACACAAUUGCAUACCAACUUUCACAAUCCCACCAUCAAACAUACAAAUUAAAC
rnacentral:lncRNA from 1 species